UUUGGGUUCUUGGGGGGCAGUAUGGGUCCGCCAGGCUUGAAAAAUUAAAAGGAAUUUGACGGAAUGGGCCCCCACCAGGAGUGGAGCCUGCGGGCUUUAAUUUUGACUCCAACCCCGGGGAACCUCACCCAGGUCCAGACACAAUAAGGAUUGACAGAUUGAGAGCUCUUUUCUUGAUUUUGUGGGUGGUGGUGCAUGGCCGUUCUUAGUUGGUGGAGUGAUUUGUCUGCUUAAUUGCGAUAACGAACGAGACCUUACCCUACUAAUCCGUGCUGCUAGCAUUUGCUGGUAUAGUCACUUCUUAGAGGGACUAUCGAUUUAAAAAACGAUGGAAGUUUGAGGCAAUAACAGGUCUGUGAUGCCCUUAGACGUUCUGGGCCGCACGCGCGCUACACUGACGGAGCCAGCGAGUAUAAACCUUGGCCGAGAGGUCUGGGAAAUCUUGUGAAACUCCGUCGUGCUGGGGAUAGAGCAUUGUAAUUGUUGCUCUUCAACGAGGAAUUCCUAGUCUACCCAAGUCAUCAGGGGGAAAAGAUUACGUCCCUGCCCUUUGUACACACCGCCCGUC
rnacentral:rRNA from 1 species